AUUGAACGCUGGCGGCAGGCUUAACACAUGCAAGUCGAACGAUGAUUAUCUAGCUUGCUAGAUAUGAUUAGUGGCGGACGGGUGAGUAACAUUUAGGAAUCUGCCUAGUAGUGGGGGAUAGCUCGGGGAAACUCGAAUUAAUACCGCAUACGACCUACGGGUGAAAGGGGGCGCAAGCUCUUGCUAUUAGAUGAGCCUAAAUCAGAUUAGCUAGUUGGUGGGGUAAAGGCCCACCAAGGCGACGAUCUGUAACUGGUCUGAGAGGAUGAUCAGUCACACCGGAACUGAGACACGGUCCGGACUCCUACGGGAGGCAGCAGUGGGGAAUAUUGGACAAUGGGGGCAACCCUGAUCCAGCCAUGCCGCGUGUGUGAAGAAGGCCUUUUGGUUGUAAAGCACUUUAAGCAGGGAGGAGAGGCUAAUGGUUAAUACCCAUUAGAUUAGACGUUACCUGCAGAAUAAGCACCGGCUAACUCUGUGCCAGCAGCCGCGGUAAUACAGAGGGUGCGAGCGUUAAUCGGAAUUACUGGGCGUAAAGCGAGUGUAGGUGGCUCAUUAAGUCACAUGUGAAAUCCCCGGGCUUAACCUGGGAACUGCAUGUGAUACUGGUGGUGCUAGAAUAUGUGAGAGGGAAGUAGGAUUCCAGGUGUAGCGGUGAAAUGCGUAGAGAUCUGGAGGAAUACCGAUGGCGAAGGCAGCUUCCUGGCAUAAUAUUGACACUGAGAUUCGAAAGCGUGGGUAGCAAACAGGAUUAGAUACCCUGGUAGUCCACGCCGUAAACGAUGUCUACUAGCCGUUGGGGUCCUUGAGACUUUAGUGGCGCAGUUAACGCGAUAAGUAGACCGCCUGGGGAGUACGGCCGCAAGGUUAAAACUCAAAUGAAUUGACGGGGGCCCGCACAAGCGGUGGAGCAUGUGGUUUAAUUCGAUGCAACGCGAAGAACCUUACCUGGUCUUGACAUAGUGAGAAUCCUGCAGAGAUGCGGGAGUGCCUUCGGGAAUUCACAUACAGGUGCUGCAUGGCUGUCGUCAGCUCGUGUCGUGAGAUGUUGGGUUAAGUCCCGCAACGAGCGCAACCCUUUUCCUUAUUUGCCAGCGGGUUAAGCCGGGAACUUUAAGGAUACUGCCAGUGACAAACUGGAGGAAGGCGGGGACGACGUCAAGUCAUCAUGGCCCUUACGACCAGGGCUACACACGUGCUACAAUGGUAGGUACGGAGGGUUGCUACACAGCGAUGUGAUGCUAAUCUCAAAAAGCCUAUCGUAGUCCGGAUUGGAGUCUGCAACUCGACUCCAUGAAGUCGGAAUCGCUAGUAAUCGCAGAUCAGAAUGCUGCGGUGAAUACGUUCCCGGGCCU
rnacentral:rRNA from 1 species